rnacentral:rRNA from 1 species
GAUGAACACUGGCGGCGUGCCUAAUACAUGCAAGUCGAGCGAACGGACGAGAAGCUUGCUUCUCUGAUGUUAGCGGCGGACGGGUGAGUAACACGUGGAUAACCUACCUAUAAGACUGGGAUAACUUCGGGAAACCGGAGCUAAUACCGGAUGAUAUUUUGAACCGCAUGGUUCAAAAGUGAAAGACGGUCUUGCUGUCACUUAUAGAUGGAUCCGCGCUGCAUUAGCUAGUUGGUAAGGUAACGGCUUGCCAAGGCAACGAUGCAUAGCCGACCUGAGAGGGUGAUCGGCCACACUGGAACUGAGACACGGUCCAGACUCCUACGGGAGGCAGCAGUAGGGAAUCUUCCGCAAUGGGCGAAAGCCUGACGGAGCAACGCCGCGUGAGUGAUGAAGGUCUUCGGAUCGUAAAACUCUGUUAUUAGGGAAGAACAUAUGUGUAAGUAACUGUGCACAUCUUGACGGUACCUAAUCAGAAAGCCACGGCUAACUACGUG